CUGAUGAUGAAGAGAGAGGCAGUGGCAGAGGGGGGGGCACCUUUUAUUUCUAUUUUUAAAGGGACAGGACACUCAUUUCACCCCACUUCAACCUUGAAUUGAGGGGGGGUGGGGGGAAAAGGCGACUGAGUUCCUUCCCCCACCCUCCAGCCCCGAGCCCUAAGAAGGGGGAUUGAGCCAGAGAGAGAAGAAGGAGUUUCUUCUUCUUCGAAAACCCCCAUCCACGACUCCUACCCCCUCACCCCUCCACUCGCCUCCCUCUCGAGCCCCCUCCACCCCCCUCCUCUUUGGCCGUGAGAGGAGGAGAGAAAGACCAAAAGCCUCUUAGCAACACAGACCCUCCUCUGCUGCUGCUGCUGCUGCUGUUACUGCUGCUGCUGCUGCUGCUACUGCUGCUGCUACUGCUGCUGCUACUGCUGCUGCUUGGCCCUGGCUGGAGACAUCUCACUACACCCAGCUCGCCUCCUCCUCCUGCGCCUCCUCCUCCACUCCCCCCCUUUAUUACCCUUUGUGUCAUCCUCCACAGCUCCAGGGAAGGCACUCCAAAGUGGGGGGCAGGAAAGACAGUUAACAGCUUUCCAGUUUUCUGAAGAUUUACUCCUAGUCAUCAUUGGGACCCCCAUGAAGUCAGCCAGAAAACCUAUGUCCAACCUUUGUAUCUUUGUAAAGCUAUGUGGAUUUUGAAUGUAUGUUACAAAACAAAUUAUGUUUAGCUAUUCAUUCCGUGUCUGUUGAUGUCUAUCAGGCAUUGUGUUAGGCUUUUGAAAACGAGGAUCAUCCUUACAGUUUGAUGUGAAAAGAUAUCAUAAUUGUAUUCUUCAAGUGUAUUUGUCAUAUUUUUACCUUGGCGUUCUACAUGAAUAAAUGUUAUAUUAACUAAGUGGAUAUUGUUAGGUGUGAAAAUAUGUGUUUAAAUAGGUUAAUUGUGUUAAAAUAGAAAAAUAUUAAAAUUUUUUUCAAUUUACUGCUAUAUUCUAAAAAGUUUAUUCUUUGUGCACUUCAUUCAUUUUAGACAAUGAUAAGGCCCAUGUGACUACCAUUGCUCAAUUUUUAUUACAAGACAAAACUCUUAAAUUCGAAGAUGAUCAAUACCAGUUAUUACAUUACGUCAUUACUUUUUUUCCAAAACAAGAAAUGCAUAUUCUCCACACAUGAACUUUCUUCUCAGAACUAAAUUUUAUAUUUCAUUUACCAGGUUGUCAUAACCUGAUUAUUUGGAGGAUAUUAUAUAGUUUCAUUUGGACUUUUAAAAUAUUUUCACAUUUCAUGCAAAUAUAACAAUUAUUAAAUUAUUGUGUUGUAAUUAGUGUGCAGUACGUAGAAGCUUUGGGAUAUGUGAAAUACUUUAGAAAUAUUAUUCCAAGAUCCUUACAAAGAACUUCCCAGUAUUAGUUCUAAACUUAUUGCUUGAUACUGUUUUUAUAACUUUGGUAUUUAACUUGGAAGUUUCUUCAGUAGAUGGGUAUUCGAAAGCAUCAUGUCAUUCUUUGUCAUAGUUUUUACAAGUAAUAGAACCAUUUAUUAAGAGAAUGAAGUACUAAUCUGAGUUUGUCUUCCUUAAAGUCAUGUAGGGUACUAUUGAUGCAUAGUUUUUGAAAAGAUAGGAAUGUCCAUGCCAGUAUGGUGUACUGGAAAGAAAAACAGAUUUGUAAAUGAUAAAUUCUGAUCUCUUCCACAUUCUUUCUUAAAUUUUUGUUUUGUAAAUAACCAUAGUUUUUACUUAUAUGUAUACCUGGCAUUGUGAUAAAUACAUUAAUUCCUGUUGUCCUCAGUAUGUUCUUUGUGAACUUUUCAUCAUGUUCCUCAUGUUAAAAAUUUGGAAAUCAAUUGCUAACCACCUCAUUUUAUCAUUAUAUAGCAGCAAAGCACCCUAGCAUGUUAACUUCAUGACACUUAAUAAUGGAAAACAUGGUCACAAUGAAGAACUAUUAUUAGCCUGUACUCCAGUAAACAUGAAUGAAGCUAUGGAGUUAUGGCAUCAGUAGCUUAUUGAUAGAGUGAUAGAAAAUCUCUACUCGUUGACAGGGACAGAGAACAAGCAGCAAUCCAGGUUUCUAUAAGGAAUGUUAGUGCAGUCAAGUAGGCUUCUCAAGAUUAAAUUUUAACUUGCAAGGAUUUGGAUUUAGCAUUUUGUUACAUAAUGUUUGGAGGAUUCAGCAAUAUAUGACCCAUUGAGCAAUUAUUGUAAAUUUUUAAUGUAAUUAUACUAUAAGAAGAAAACCACUGAACAAAAAGAAAUGUAAUCUGUUUAAUGCAUUAGUAUAUGUACAAAUAUCACCUUCUAGUCUGUCACAGAGCAUUCUCAUGUUCAUUUCAUGCAUACUAUUAAGGUUAACACUUUUUUUUUUGUACUCCAGAAAGAAUCUUUUUUUAAAAAAUUUGUUUAAAUUAUUUGAGAGGAAGAGGAAAUAAAGACUGUGGCUGAAUCACUCCUUAGUGCUCAUUAUGGCUGGAGACUAGUCCAGGCAGAAGCCAAGAUCCAGGAACUCAAUCAAGGUGUCCCUUAGCAGUAGUAGAACUUAAGUAAUUAGGGUCAUUACUGUAGGAAGACAGAGU